GGGGCUAUAGCUCAGCUGGGAGAGCAUCGCGUUUGCAACGCGAGGGUCGUCGGUUCAAGUCCGUCUAGCUCCA
rnacentral:tRNA from 1 species